GGCGGGGUAGCCAAGUGGUAAGGCCGAGGUCUGCAAAACCUCUAUUCGCGGGUUCGAUUCCCGCCCCCGCCU
rnacentral:tRNA from 1 species